GGUGAACGCUGGCGGCGUGCUUAAGACAUGCAAGUCGAACGGCAGUCUUCGGACUGUAGUGGCGCACGGGUGAGUAACGCGUAACUGACCUACCCCAAAGUCGCGGAUAACGAUUCGAAAGAAUCGCUAAUACGUGAUGUGCUGUCAGAUUGUGUUCUGCCAGUAAAGAUUGAUUGCUUUGGGAUGGGGUUGCGUUCCAUCAGCUAGUUGGUGGGGUAAAGGCCCACCAAGGCGACGACGGAUAGCCGGCCUGAGAGGGUGGCCGGCCACAGGGGCACUGAGACACGGGUCCCACUCCUACGGUAGGCAGCAGUUAGGAAUCUUCCACAAUGGGCGAAAGCCUGAUGGAGCGACGCCGCGUGAGGGAUGAAGGUCUUCGGAUCGUAAACCUCUGAAUCAGGGACGAAAGACACUUCGGUGGGAUGACGGUACCUGAGUAAUAGCACCGGCUAACUCCGUGCCAGCAGCCGCCGUAA
rnacentral:rRNA from 1 species